AGUGAACGCUGGCGGUAGGCCUAACACAAGCAAGUCGAACGGCAGCACAGUAAGAGCUUGCUCUUACGGGUGGCGAGUGGCGGACGGGUGAGGAAUACAUCGGAAUCUACUUUUUCGUGGGGGAUAACGUAGGGAAACUUACGCUAAUACCGCAUACGACCUACGGGUGAAAGCAGGGGAUCUUCGGACCUUGCGCGAUUGAAUGAGCCGAUGUCGGAUUAGCUAGUUGGCGGGGUAAAGGCCCACCAAGGCGACGAUCCGUAGCUGGUCUGAGAGGAUGAUCAGCCACACUGGAACUGAGACACGGUCCAGACUCCUACGGGAGGCAGCAGUGGGGAAUAUUGGGCAAUGGGCGCAAGCCUGAUCCAGCCAUACCGCGUGGGUGAAGAAGGCCUUCGGGUUGUAAAGCCCUUUUGUUGGGAAAGAAAAGCAGCAGGUUAAUACCCCGCUGUUCUGACGGUACCCAAAGAAUAAGCACCGGCUAACUUCGUG
rnacentral:rRNA from 1 species